UUGUUCAAAAAGGGACCGAAUUGAAAACGAAAAGAAAAAACGGGGUAAAAUUGCUAAAGUAAAGAAUAUUCACUUGAAAACACAGAGAAAAGCGGAAGGACUAGGGUAGCAAUUAUACCCUAGUCACAAAACACGCGAAUCCUCCUGGUAAACGGGUCGGGUCGUGCACGGGUCACGCAGAACGACGCCGUUUUAGCGCUAAAAACCCCUGAACGAAACGGCGGCGUUUUGUAAUAGUAUAAAAACUAAAAUUUUUUAAAGAAUCCUCAUUUCUCCUUUUAUUUCAAAAAAAACGACUAGAGAGUGAUUCUCUCUCAGCCUUCCCCCUAGAUCGGCCUAGGUCUCCGAUGGAGGGCUCCGGCGCACCUACACCAUAGCUCUGCCGCAAGCGGCGGCCGGAGGUGCAAAAUCGGCCCUUUCUUAGCCCUGUUUAAAGCUCGUCACCCCUAGAACCCGGAUUCAAGGUUGAAUCCUUGGAAAAGUGGCCACGAACCCUAGAACAGAAGGGAAACCGUUCGGCUUCUCCUCUGGCACGGCGCAGGUCAUGAGGAGUCAAUGGGCAGAAACCAUUGCCAUUUUGGUGCAACCUCGGUGAAGGAGUCGUCAUCGGGCGUCGUGCACGCCGAGGGCGCUCAUGGGGAAGUCUGCGGCGCAAGAAGGGAAGGGAAACCCUAGGGUUUCUGAAAAUUUUAAGCUCUUUGGGCUUAUCGGGCUUGAUUUUUUGGGCCAGUUAGACUAUAAUUUUUGGUUUAUUCUGCUGGUAUGGGCCCGGGCUGAAAUUGGGCUGUAAAUCCCUCAUUUCCUCUCACUUUAUUUAUUUUGAAAUUUUUAUCUACUUUUAUUUUUUUUA